AGGACGAACGCUGGCGGCGUGCCUAACACAUGCAAGUGGAGCGACGAACCAGGCUUCGGCCUGGGGCUAAGCCGCGAACGGGUGAGUAACACGUGGGUAACCUGCCCCGAUGAUUGGGACAACCCGAGGAAACUCGGGCUAAUACCGAAUGUGCCCUCCGGCCAUAAGGCCGCUGGGGAAAGGAAGCUUCGGCCUCCGCAUCGGGAUGGGCCCGCGGCCCAUUAGCUUGUUGGUGAGGUAACGGCUCACCAAGGCUGCGAUGGGUA
rnacentral:rRNA from 1 species